GGGCACUUGGCACAGUGGUAGCGCGCCUGCUUUGCAUACGAAAAUGCAAAUUGCAUGAGGUCGAGGGUUCAAUCCCCUCAGUGUCCA